rnacentral:rRNA from 1 species
CGUCUAGGUGGUUAUGUAAGUCUGAUGUGAAAAUGCAGGGCUCAACUCUGUAUUGCGUUGGAAACUGUAUAACUAGAGUACUGGAGAGGUAAGCGGAACUACAAGUGUAGAGGUGAAAUUCGUAGAUAUUUGUAGGAAUGCCGAUGGGGAAGCCAGCUUACUGGACAGAUACUGACGCUGAAGCGCGAAAGCGUGGGUAGCAAACA